UACGUAGGCAGCGAGCGUUGUUCGGAAUUACUGGGCGUAAAGAGUGCGUAGGCGGUUUUCUAAGUUUGGUGUGAAAUCUCCCGGCUUAACUGGGAGGGUGCGCCGAAGACUGGAAGGCUUGAGUAUGGGAGAGGUAAGCGGAAUUCCUGGUGUAGCGGUGAAAUGCGUAGAUAUCAGGAGGAACACCUGCGGUGUAGACGGCUUACUGGACCAUAACUGACGCUGAGGCACGAAAGCGUGGGUAGCAAACAGG
rnacentral:rRNA from 1 species